AUGGUCAAGUUACUAAGGGUGCAUGGUGGAUGCCUAGGCGCCAGGAGGUGAUGAAGGACGUGGCAGCCUGCGAAAAGCCCAGGGGAGUCGGCAAACAGACUUUGAUCCUGGGAUCUCCGAAUGGGGAAACCCGGCGUCACUCCGCAAGGAGAUGGCGUCACCCCCGGAUGAAUGCAUAGUCCGGGUGGAAUCAACCCGGUGAACUGAAACAUCUCAGUAGCCGGAGGAAAGGAAAUCAAGCGAGACUCCGUCAGUAGCGGCGAGCGAAAGCGGAAUAGCCCAAACCGGGCUUCGGCCCGGGGUUGCGGGCGGGCAGCUCGGUCCUUGAUGAGCUAGCAGAACGGUCUGGAAAGGCCGGCCAAAGAGGGUGACAGCCCCGUACGCGGAACUCGUUGUGGACCUUGCCCGUUCCAGAGUAGCACGGAACACGUGGAACUCCGUGUGAAGCUGGGUGGACCAUCAUCCAAGGCUAAGUACUCCCUGGCGACCGAUAGUGAACUAGUAGGGCGAUUGAAAGGUGAAAAGCACCCCUUCUAGGGGAGUGAAAAGUACCUGAAACCAUGCACUUACAAGCGGUGGGAGCCCUAUGCCCCUCGUGGGAAUGGGUGACCGCGUGCCUUUUGCAUAAUGAGCCGGCGAGUUAUUGUCAGCGGCAAGGCUAACCACUUCAGGUGGGCAGCCCCAGCGAAAGCGAGUCUGAAUAGGGCGCUAAGUCGUUGGCGAUAGACCCGAAACCAAGUGAUCUACCCAUGGCCAGGGUGAACCUGCCGUAACAGGCGGGGAAGGCCCGAACCCGUUAACGUUGAAAAGUUAUGGGAUGAGCUGUGGGGAGGAGUGAAAGUCUAAUCAAACUUGGAGAUAUCUGGUUCUCCCCGAAAUGACUUUAGGGUCAGCCUCGGACCACUACGCUACGGGGGUAGAGCUACUGAAUGGAGACGGGGGCCCACCAGGCUACCCGCUCCAAUCAAACUCCGAAUACCGUAGCGACUAUUCCGGGAGUGAGCCUACGGGCGAUAACGUCCGUGGACGAGAGGGAAACAUCCCAGACCGCCAGCUAAGGUCCCUAAUACCUGCUAAGUGCUUAAGGAAGUCCGAUUUCCGAGACAGUCAGGAUGUUGGCUUAGAAGCAGCCACCAUUUAAAAAGUGCGUAAUAGCUUACUGACCGAGAUAUCGGGCGCCGAAAAUGAUCGGGACUCAAGCAGGUAACCGAAGCUGCGGGCUUGUAUGGUUCGUCGAACCGUAUGAGCGGUAGGGGAGCGUUGCUGGACAGAUACAAGCGGUACCGUAAGGAGCCGUGUCGGGUCCAGCAAGUGAGAAUGCCGGUAUGAGUAACGAUAAACCAGGUGAUGAAUCCUGGUCGCCGCAAGCCUAAGGUUUCCUGGGGAAGGCAAAUCCGCCCAGGGUUAGUCGGAUCCUAAGGCGAGGCCGAAAGGCGUAGCCGAUGGGCAGCAGGUUAAUAUUCCUGCACUCCGUAUGGAAGGCUUGUACCUGAGGGGUGACGCGGGUGUGAAAGCUGGAAGCCGGUUAGAAGUGGCUAUUGGGGCUCUGGUCCCGGUCGGUAGGCAAAUCCGCCGGCCAUCAAGGGACUGGUGCACCGCGAGGGCCGUUUGAUGCCCGAGCAGCUGAAUCACCCGCCGAGAAAACCCUCGCAGGGACAACCAUGCGGAUCCGUACCGCAAACUGACACAGGUAGGCGAGGCGCGUAGCCUCAGGCGCUCGAGAGAACCGUCCUCAAGGAACUAGGCAAUUUUACCCCGUAACUUCGGAAGAAGGGGUCCCUACAGCUCCGACAGAUUAACCUUUGUCGGAGGCUGAGGGCGCAGCGAAUCGGGUCUGCCGACUGUUUAUCAAAAACACAGGACUCUGCAUAAGUCGUAUAGACGACGUAUAGGGUCUGACGCCUGCCCGGUGCGGGAAUGUUAAGGAAGCCGGUUAUUGGCCUUCGGGCUGAGAAGCUGGCGACCGAAGCACCCGUAAACGGCGGCCGUAACUAUGACGGUCCUAAGGUAGCGAAGUUCCUUGUCGGGUAAGUUCCGACCUGCAUGAAUGGCGUAACGAGCGGACCACUGUCUCGAGGACGGACUCGGUGAAAUUGUAGUGGCGGUGCCGAUACCGCCUAACCACGGCAAGACGGAAAGACCCCGUGAACCUUUACUGCAGCCUGGUAUUGGCUUCUGACUGUAAUUGCGUAGGAUAGGUGGGAGGCGUUGAAGUCCCGAUUUCGGUCGGGAUGGAGCCAUCCUUGAAAUACCACCCUUUUGCUGUUAGAAGUCUAACCGCGAUCCGUGAAGCCGGACGCGGGACCGUGCUAGGUGGGUAGUUUGACUGGGGCGGUCUCCUCCAAAAGAGUAACGGAGGAGCCCAAAGGUCAGCUCAGCGCGGUUGGCAAUCGCGCAACGAGUGUAAGGGCAGAAGCUGGCUUGACUGUGAGACCGAUAGGUCGAACAGAUGGGAAACCAGGGCCUAAUGAUCCGGUGAUCCUGUGUGGAAAGGUCAUCGCUCAACAGAUAAAAGGUACUCCGGGGAUAACAGGCUGAUCUCCCCCGAGCGUCCACAGCGGCGGGGAGGUUUGGCACCUCGAUGUCGGCCCAUCGCAUCCUGGGGCUGUAGGCGGUCCCAAGGGUUGGGCUGUUCGCCCAUUAAAGCGGUACGCGAGCUGGGUUCAGACCGGCGUGAGCCAGGUCGGUCCCUAUCUGCCGUGGUCGUACGAGCCUUGAGGGGAGAUUUCCAUAGUACGAGAGGACUUGGAAGUACUGACCUCUGGUGUGCCAGUUGUCCCGCUAGGGGCAUCGCUGGGUAGCUAAGUCGGGAAAGGAUAAUCGCUGAAAGCAUCUAAGCGAGAAGCCGUCCCCAAGAUAAGGGCUCGGUUCCACUUCGGUGGAUGAAGGCCCCUGGUAGACUACCAGGUUGAUAGGCCGGAGGUGUAAGGACAGAGAUGUCCUGAGCUGACCGGUACUAACGGCCGAAGGCUUGACCAU
rnacentral:rRNA from 1 species